UCGGGAAGGCAGCUGCGGCGGACUGUGCAGGUUCGUGCCCAACAUUCCAGUCCGUCCAACUCCUUUCCGUUU